UGCUCUGGCCCCUGGCUCUGG
rnacentral:misc_RNA from 1 species